rnacentral:rRNA from 1 species
AUGCGGAGGGUGCGAGCGUUAAUCGGAAUUACUGGGCGUAAAGCGUGCGUAGGCGGUUUGCUAAGUCAGAUGUGAAAGCCCCGGGCUUAACCUGGGAACUGCAUUUGAUACUGGCAGACUAGAGUAUGAUAGAGGGGGGUAGAAUUCCUGGCGUAGCGGUGAAAUGCGUAGAUAUCAGGAGGAAUACCAGUGGCGAAGGCGGCCCCCUGGAUCAAUACUGACGCUGAGGUACGAAAGCGUGCGGAGCGAACAGGAUUAGAUACCCCAGUAGUCC